rnacentral:rRNA from 1 species
AUGUCAGCUUCAGAGUUCAGGAUUCCUUACCAGCCAGUAUCAUCUUCGCAGCCUUCGGAGAAUGCAGGUCAGUUCAAGAUAUGCCGAUGUGGAGAGGGAGACCCGAACUCCCAGACUGGUGAAACCGGUGAUAGUCCACAAACUUCAUGUCCUAACUGCCAGGUUCUCAAGAGUGGACAUCUACUGCUUUCAUCUAAAGGGAUUGGUUGGACAACAUGGAAAAAGCGCUGGUUUGUUCUUACAAGGGCAUCAUUAGUGUUCUUCAGAAGUGACCCUAAUGCACCUCCCAGAGGAAAUGAACCAGUUGUUACACUUGGUGGAAUCGACUUGAAUAACUCCGGAAGUGUUGUAGUCAAAGAAGACAGGAAACUUUUAACAGUGUUAUUUCCUGAUGGCCGCGAAGGGCGUACUUUUACUCUGAAGGCAGAAACUACAGAAGAACUCAACGAGUGGAGAAAUGCAUUAGAGAGUGCUUUAGCGCAGGCACCAAUUGUAGCGAGUACAGUGGGGCAAAAUUCAAUAUUUAACGCUGAUGGAACAGAAUCUUCUGAAGCUUCAACUGAACAGUCGGAGGAUAAAUCAUCUGUUAUUGGGAGACCUGCACAGUUUGCACUUGUAGAGGCUGAUGGUAGUCCAGCUUUCCUGGAGAAGGCCUUGAGGUUCAUUGAAGAUUAUGGUUGCAAGGGAGAAGGAAUCCUCCGUCAAUCUGCUGAUGUUGAAGAAGUCAAACGCAGAUUUCGUGAUUAUGAAAAGGGAAAGAAAGAGUUCUCCCCAGAUGAGGAUGGGCAUGUUAUUGGUGACUGUAUUAAGACUAUUCUUCGAGAGAUGCCAGCUUCGCCAGUUCCUGCAGCAUGUUGCACCGCGCUGGUUACAGCUUACCGAACUGACAAGACAAAAAGACUUGAUGCUUUAAAUAAAGUUAUAUAUGAAGUUUUCCCGGAACCAAAUCGGCAAUUAUUGCAGAGGAUCCUUAAGAUGAUGAUGAUCGUUGGAUCACACAAAGCUGUGAACAGGAUGUCUAGUUCCGCUUUGGCGGCUUGUAUGGCACCACUCCUUCUUCGUCCUCUUCUUCUUGGUGAAUGUGAAAUUGAUAAAGACUUCAGUAUGGCUGGGGAUGGUUCAUUCCAGCUGCUUCAAGCUGCCGCUGCAGCCAACCAUGCUCAAGCUAUUGUUAUCAUCAUGCUUGAGGAAUAUGAUCAGAUAUUUGAUGACAUAGAAGAAGGUUCUUCGGACGCUUAUACUGAGUCUGACGACGGUGAUGUUGACAAGGAAUAUUCCACGGAUAAUGACAACCAUGAUGAGGAUGGUUCUUAUGAUUCUGGUGAAGAUGACAUUGAAGAAGACUUGGAUGAUAAUACCGAACACUCUUCUGGCGGCAGUGAAUGUGAUGGCAAUAGUAGAAUCAAUGCCAAACGUGACAAGAUGAAAGUGGGAAAAACAGAACGUGGUUUGUCAAGGGAGGACAAAGGAUCCACAGAUCAUAUAGCAAAAUCCCAUUCAUCAUCUUCGAAAGCAAAAUUUACGAAGUCAAGCAGCUCAGCUAAUAGGGGCAAAAAGACAUUAUGGGGCCGUACUUCAGCAAGAAAGGACCUGGACGUUGAGGGCUGCAGUGAUGAUGAGGCUCUUAUUGAGAAGCUUGAGAACAACAAGGCCGAUCUCCAAUCUAAAGUUUCAAAGGAGGUCAAAGAAAAUAAAAACCUCCAGACAAGUCUAGAAAAGCGGAAAGGAACAUUACAUGAACGCCGUUUAGCACUUGAAAAAGAAGUGGAAACUUUGCGAGAUCAGCUGCAUAAGGAGAGAAGUUUGAGGGCCUCAUUGGAGUCUGGGCUGAUGAAUAUGCGAAGAGGGCAGGUGUCCCUCCCGUCGUCAAUAGACAGCAAGACUAAGGCUAAUCUUCAGGAAGUUGCUGCUGCUGAAGCUGAUGUUGUGAAUUUGAAGCAAAAGGCUUGUGAUCUACGCGGACAACUCAGCAGCCAGGCCCAGCUGAGCUCCAUCCCACUAUGUGAAUCAUGCAACAAACGGCUCCAAGACAAGCUUGCCGAAGAGAAACAAAAUGAAAUCAGCUCAUCAACCGAAGCAUCAUCAGCUAUUGGGACCAAUCCUUUAUCUCGAAUGUUACCCAAUGCAGGCAUGGCGGAUAUUGUUGAACAAUUGAGAAGGCAAGCCGCACAGAAUUCGUCUUCUUCAACAGGUGCUCAAAGAUUGUUGAGGCAAAACUCAAAUAGCCUACACAGGCUUCAAGGACUGAAUGCCUUUUCAAGUAAUAGAACAGAGGAACCUGGGGGUGGACCACCAACUGCAUUAGCUAAGCUGACAAACCGGCUCAACUUCUUGAAAGAAAGAAGGGCAAUGCUCGCAAGUGAGAUGCAAAACUUAGAUUUGGCUCGCCCACCAACGGGUCCAGCUCCAAAUAAAGACUCAACAUGA